rfam:Erinaceus europaeus unplaced genomic scaffold scaffold00620, whole genome shotgun sequence
GUGUUCACUUUGGCAACACAUAUACUAAAACUGGAAAGAUAUAGAAAAGAUAGCAUGACCUCAGUGCAAGGAUGACGUGCAAAUUCGUGAAGCGUUUUAUAUUUAA